rnacentral:snoRNA from 1 species
UUCUCCAGUGGUGAGCUCUGAGACUAAAACCAAGUGUAGGAAACAGGGUUAUUCUUCACAUGGAUGAUUCUGUGCUGAAAGUAUGGAAGCAUCC